UCUUUUAUAUUUAUUAAUUAUUAUUAAUGUUUAUACGUAAAAAAGGCUGUAAAACAAAGAAAAAAGAAAACGCGUUACAAUUUCCCCAAAUCCAUGAAUGAAUCAGCCAUUCCCAAUUUGCCAUGGUUCAUCUCUAGUUUAGUACCAUUCUCGAUUCUGUAUUUUUAAGCGAGAAUGAAUGGGAAUUAGGGCAACACCCCCCCUC
rnacentral:lncRNA from 1 species